rnacentral:lncRNA from 1 species
UGCCAGGAGCCGCGCGUUCGGCCGGCAGCGCCGUGGCGGUGGGGUUGCACAACAGCGCUGGCAUUUGCGGGGCCACCUCUGCCAACUUCGCACAGACGGAGGAAUACGGCGCUGCUGGGCUGAUAGCCGCCCGCACGAGAUGUUGUUGCAGUUCCUGUAUUGCCAGAUCCUGGAGAGGAGUUAAAGGAAACCACAGCCUGGUGCUGAGAGCAGAUUGAGAUCUUGUGGCUGCUGCAGGAAGCCUGCUCCCAGGUAUCUUCCAGCAGAGAGCAUACAGCCUGCAGCAAGUUCCUAAGCUGGCAGGUGCCUUGUUCCAUCCCAGGCUCAUGGUUAUCACAGCUGCUUGCUGUCUAGGGCAGCCUCACACUGGAG